rnacentral:tRNA from 1 species
GGCGUGUUCGUCUAGAGGCCUAGGACGCGCCCUCUCAAGGCGGAAAUCAUGGGUUCGAAUCCCAUACACGCUACCG